UAUUUGUAACAUACAAAAGAAGAAAAAAAGUAUGACUAAAAUUCUCAAGUUUACAUACGUUAUGAUCCUCUUACUUUUCCUAUUUCUUUUUAUAACUGAUGCCGGCUUUCCUGACCUACUCAAUCGAAAGAUGCCCACCGAAGUCACUUUCGGAACCAUACUUCCUACAGAUGAUGCAUGUAUUACUUUUCUUGAUUGUUUACAUGUGCAUUGUUUGUCAACUCAAACGCAGCUAUGUGUGAUGAACAAAUGUGAAUGCACGGAUUUAACAGGAUAAGCAGAACUGCGCUCAAGACAAUAUACUACUUAAUUUAGUCAUACAUACUAUAUAAUAGCUAUUUGUUUUACAUAAUUUUACAUAUGCAAACAAAAUAAUAUGUUUUGAAUACACAAUCCUUUUUGUACUAUAUAAUUAUAUGUAUGUUUUUAUAAUAUAUAUAAUAUAUAGCUUGCAAUCUUAUAAACAAAAUUGUUCCUAAUUAAAACUCUUCAUCACUUUCUUCAACACUAUUAUUACUCUUUUUAAGUUUCCCGUCUCUAUAACAAAAAAGGGAGAAAAUUCCUAAAAAGCAUGAAGCAUAUAAGAAAUACUCAAAGACAAAAAAUAAAAGAAACAACAGCCAAAAAUUCCAAACCAGCGAAACAGACGAAACCAUCAAAGCCGAAAACCUCAACCAACCCAUCCCCAACCUCCGAACAAGCUAAAAGAAUAGCGAUGUGAUACCAACAUGACAACCAAAAUCGGACACCCAACCAAAGACAAUGUUGACCCCUAGAACGAUCUCUUCCACAAAAUUCUACAUGUUCCAGUGUAGGACAGGUUCCACCUCCCACUCAUAGUGAUGUUAGUUGAUUAGUGAUGUUAAGCCAACAAUGUGUGAUAGAAUAGAAAAUUUUGUUAUAAUUAGUUGUCAUUAAUUUUCUGUAGUAUUAAGUUGUAUCAUAAUUAGAUAGUUGACUAAAUGAUGUAUAUAUAUUCUACUCAGAUGAAUGAGAAAGACAACAAUUCCAAUUAUCUUACACAAUGGAAUUCAUCUAUAUGAAGAAAAUGAUCGACCAAAGAAGGUUUACAACUAGCCUUCAAUAUAUAUAACAACAACAAAGAGCUAUGUAAAAUAUAUUCCACUAGUCCAUUUUUAAAAUUGAUAAUCAUAUAUAGUUUUGAAACUAAUUCUAUAUAUCAUUUCUCUCUUUAUAUAGUUAUAUCUCAUUGUGGAAUAUUAUUUAUAAAUUAUGGGACAAACAACUACAUAUAGGCAUUUGCAUGUUGCAUUAUACUUUAAAGUUGCAUUAUGGAAAUGAAUUUUGGAGGUUCCUAAUGCUGCAAAAUUGAUGAUCAAGAAGGAAUGCGAAUAUGAUGAAAUUGGUUAUGAUGUAACUAAUAAUUUUAUGCAAGAUGAUUGAUUGGUCUGAUUGAUGCAUUAGUAACUUGUUUUAGUGAAUAGUUUAAGAUUGAUGGUUUUUUUUUCAAUCGAUGAUUUUUGUAUUAAGUUACGACUUUUGGUGUUUUGCUAUUUUGUUGCAUGACCCGUUUAAAAAUCAUUAUGUCAUGUAUGUAAGUCAUGCGAAUAAUCAACUAUAUAUUAUGAUUAUUUUUUUAAGUUUAAGGAA